AGUAUGGGGAUCUGCCGAAUGGAGGGGGACAACAGUUGGAAACGACUGCUAAUACCGCAUAAAGUUGAGAGACCAAAGCAUGGGACUUUCGGGCCAUGCGCCAUUCGAUGAACCCAUAUGGGAUUAGCUAGUUGGUAGGGUAAAGGCUCACCAAGGCGACGAUCUCUAGCUGGUCUGAGAGGAUGACCAGCCACACUGGAACUGAGACACGGUCCAGACUCCUACGGGAGCAGCAGUGGGGAAUAUUGCACAAUGGGGGAAACCCUGAUGCAGCCAUGCCGCGUGUAUGAAGAAGGCCUUAGGGUUGUAAAGCACUUUCGGUGAUGAGGAAGUUAUGUGUGGGAUAAGCGCAUAUAAUUGACGUUAGUUACAGAAGAAGCACCGGCUAACUCCGUGCCAGCCG
rnacentral:rRNA from 1 species